ACGGGUGAGUAAAGCACAAGGACUUGUCCGAAAGAGAGGGACACCUGCGGGAAACCGGAGCUAAUACCUCAUAAGCCGGAAGGUGAAAAGCAGAGAUGCGCUUUUGGAGAGACUUGUGUCCUAUCAGGCAGUUGGUGAGGUGAAAGCUCACCAAACCGAAGACGGGUAGCCGGACUGAGAGGUCGACCGGCCACAUUGGAACUGAGAGACGGUCCAGACUCCUACGGGAGGCAGCAGUGGGGAAUAUUGGGCAAUGGGCGGAAGCCUGACCCAGCGACGCCGCGUGAGGGAAGACAGCCUUCGGGUUGUAAACCUCUGUUGCAGGGGAAGAAGGAAGUGACGGUACCCUGCGAGGAAGCUCCGGCUAACUACGUGCCAGCAGCCGCGGUAAUACGUAGGGAGCGAGCGUUGUCCGGAAUUACUGGGCGUAAAGGGCGCGUAGGCGGCGCUUCAAGUCGUCUGUCAAAUGGAAGGGCUUAACCCUUUUUCGCAGACGAAACUGGAGAGCUUGAGAAGCAGAGAGGCAAACAGAAUUCCUGGUGUAGCGGUGAAAUGCGUAGAUAUCAGGAAGAAUACCAGUGGCGAAGGCGGUUUGCUGGCUGCAUACUGACGCUGAAGCGCGAAAGCCAGGGGAGCGAACGGGAUUAGAUACCCCGGUAGUCCUGGCAGUAAACGAUGUAUGCUGGGUGUGAGACUAGCGAUAGUUUCGUGCCGAAGUUAACGCGAUAAGCAUACCGCCUGGGGAGUACGGUCGCAAGAUUGAAACUCAAAGGAAUUGACGG
rnacentral:rRNA from 1 species